GCCCGCUUAGCUCAGUGGUAGAGCACACGCUUCACACGCGUGGGGUCAAUGGUUCAAGUCCAUUAGCGGGCA
rnacentral:tRNA from 1 species